UGAGGGAUAUUGGACAAUGGAUGGAAAUCUGAUCCAGCCAUGCCGCGUGCAGGAAGACGGCCCUAUGGGUUGUAAACUGCUUUUAUACGGGAGCAAUAAGGUCUACGCGUAGACUGAUGAGAGUACCGUAUGAAUAAGCAUCGGCUAACUCCGUGCCAGCAGCCGCGGUAAUACGGAGGAUGCGAGCGUUAUCCGGAUUUAUUGGGUUUAAAGGGUGCGUAGGCGGCUUUGUAAGUCAGCGGUGAAAUUUUGCAGCUUAACUGUAACAGUGCCGUUGAUACUGUGAGGCUAGGAUUUGGUUGCUGUGGUGGAAUGUGUGGUGUAGCGGUGAAAUGCUUAGAGAUCACACAGAAUAUCGAUUGCGAAGGCAGCUCACAAAGCCAAGAUUGACGCUGAGGCACG
rnacentral:rRNA from 1 species